UGAGGAAUAUUGGUCAAUGGGCGAGAGCCUGAACCAGCCAAGUAGCGUGCAGGAUGACGGCCCUAUGGGUUGUAAACUGCUUUUACGCGGGGAUAAAGUGCGUGACGUGUCGCGCAUCGCAGGUACCGCGUGAAUAAGGACCGGCUAAUUCCGUGCCAGCAGCCGCGGUAAUACGGAAGGUCCGGGCGUUAUCCGGAUUUAUUGGGUUUAAAGGGAGCGCAGGCCGCCCGAUAAGCGUGUUGUGAAAUGUACCGGCUCAACCGGUGAGUUGCAGCGCGAACUGUCAGGCUUGAGUGCACGGUAAGCAGGCGGAAUUCAUGGUGUAGCGGUGAAAUGCUUAGAUAUCAUGACGAACUCCGAUUGCGAAGGCAGCUUACGGGAGCGCAACUGACGCUAAAGCUCGAAGGUGCGGGUAUCGAACAGG
rnacentral:rRNA from 1 species